GAUGAACGCUGGCGGCGUGCCUAACACAUGCAAGUCGAGCGAGAACCGCUGGAAUGACACUUCGGUAGAAUGAAAGCGGGGAAAGCGGCGGACGGGUGAGUAACGCGUAGGUAACCUGCCCCAUACACAGGGAUAGCCUAGGGAAACCUGGAUUAAUACCUGAUGAAGCAACUGGUCGCAUGACCGGCUGCCAAAGAUUUAUCGGUAUGGGAUGGACCUGCGUCUGAUUAGUGAGUUGGUGGGGUAAUGGCCUACCAAAGCGACGAUCAGUAGCCGACCUGAGAGGGUGAUCGGCCACAUUGGAACUGAGACACGGUCCAAACUCCCUGCGGGAGGCAGCAGUGGGGGAUAUUGCACAAUGGGCGGAAGCCUGAUGCAGCAACGCCGCGUGAGCGAAGAAGGUCUUCGGAUCGUAAAGCUCUGUCCUGGGGGAAAAACAAGUGACGGUACCCGGGAGGAACGCCCCGGACUAACCUACGUGCCAGCAGCCGACGGUAAAUACCG
rnacentral:rRNA from 1 species